rnacentral:rRNA from 1 species
UGCGUAGGCGGCGCUGUAAGUGCUUUGUGAAAUCCCAUGGCUUAACCAUGGAAUUGCUCGGCAGACUGCAGCGCUUGAGGUCGGUAGGGGUCGCUGGAACUCUAGGUGGAGCGGUGAAAUGCGUAGAUAUCUAGAGGAACGCCAAAGGUGUAGACAGGCGACUGGGCCGAUUCUGACGCUGAGGCACGAAAGCGUGGGUAGCGAACGGGAUUAGAUACCCCGGUAGUCCACGCCCUAAACGAUGUGCACUAGAUCGUGGAGGCUCUGACGCCAUCAUGGUCGAAGUUAAAAUGCUAAGUGCACCGCCUGGGGAGUACGGUCGCAAGGCUAAA